UACGAAGGGGACUAGCGUUGUUCGGAAUCACUGGGCGUAAAGCGCACGUAGGCGGAUAUGUCAGUCAGGGGUGAAAUCCCGGGGCUCAACCUCGGAACUGCCUUUGAUACAGCAUAUCUUGAGUCCGAUAGAGGUGGGUGGAAUUCCUAGUGUAGAGGUGAAAUUCGUAGAUAUUAGGAAGAACACCGGUGGCGAAGGCGGCCCACUGGAUCGGUACUGACGCUGAGGAGCGAAAGCGUGGGGAGCGAACAGG
rnacentral:rRNA from 1 species